UGCCAGCAGCCGCGGUAAUACGGGGGUCCCAAGCGUUGUUCGGAUUCACUGGGCGUAAAGAGUGCGUAGGUGGCAGAGAAAGUUUGAUGUGAAAGCUCCGGGCUCAACCCGGAAAAUGCAUUGAAAACUCCUCAGCUAGAGGAUCGGAGGGGAAAGUGGAAUUCUUGGUGUAGCAGUGAAAUGCAUAGAUAUCAAGAGGAACAUCAGUGGCGAAGGCGACUUUCUGGACGAUACCUGACACUGAGGCACGAAGGCUAGGGGAGCAAACAGGAUUAGAUA
rnacentral:rRNA from 1 species